rnacentral:misc_RNA from 1 species
AGAACGCAGCGAAAUGCGAUACGUAAUGUGAAUUGCAGAAUUCAGUGAAUCAUCGAGUCUUUGAACGCACAUUGCGCCCCCUGGUAUUCCGGGGGGCAUGCCUGUCCGAGCGUCAUUGCUGCCCUCAAGCACGGCUUGUGUGUUGGGCCUCCGUCCUCCUCCCGGGGGACGGGCCCGAAAGGCAGCGGCGGCACCGCGUCCGGUCCUCGAGCGUAUGGGGCUUCGUCACCCGCUCUUGUAGGCCCGGCCGGCGCUUGCCGACACAUCAAUCUUUUUUCCAGGUUGACCUCGGAUCAGGUAGGGAUACCCGCUGAACUUAAGCAUAUCAAUAAGCGGAGGA